UACGUAGGGGGCAAGCGUUGUCCGGAUUUAUUGGGCGUAAAGAGCGUGUAGGCGGUCAGGUAGGUCGGUUGUGAAAACUGGAGGCUCAACCUUCAGAGGUCGACCGAAACCCCCUGGCUAGAGUCCGGGAGAGGAGAGUGGAAUUCCUGGUGUAGCGGUGAAAUGCGCAGAUAUCAGGAAGAACGCCCGUGGCGAAAGCGGCUCUCUGGAACGGUACUGACGCUGAGACGCGAAAGCGUGGGGAGCGAACAGG
rnacentral:rRNA from 1 species